rnacentral:rRNA from 1 species
GACGAACGCUGGCGGCGUGCCUAAUACAUGCAAGUAGAACGCUGAAGGAGGAGCUUGCUUCUCUGGAUGAGUUGCGAACGGGUGAGUAACGCGUAGGUAACCUGCCUGGUAGCGGGGGAUAACUAUUGGAAACGAUAGCUAAUACCGCAUAAGAGUAGAUGUUGCAUGACAUUUGCUUAAAAGGUGCAAUUGCAUCACUACCAGAUGGACCUGCGUUGUAUUAGCUAGUUGGUGGGGUAACGGCUUACCAAGGCGACGAUACAUAGCCGACCUGAGAGGGUGAUCGGCCACACUGGGACUGAGACACGGCCCAGACUCCUACGAGAGGCAGCAGUAGGGAAUCUUCGGCAAUGGACGGAAGUCUGACCGAGCAACGCCGCGUGAGUGAAGAAGGUUUUCGGAUCGUAAAGCUCUGUUGUAAGAGAAGAACGAGUGUGAGAGUGGAAAGUUCACACUGUGACGGUAUCUUACCAGAAAGGGACGGCUAACUACGUG